UACGAAGGGGGCUAGCGUUGCUCGGAAUCACUGGGCGUAAAGCGCACGUAGGCGGACUCUUAAGUCAGGGGUGAAAUCCUGGAGCUCAACUCCAGAACUGCCUUUGAUGCUGGGAGUCUUGAGUUCGGGAGAGGUGAGUGGAACUGCGAGUGUAGAGGUGAAAUUCGUAGAUAUUCGCAAGAACACCAGUGGCGAAGGCGGCUCACUGGCCCGAUACUGACGCUGAGGUGCGAAAGCGUGGGGAGCAAACAGG
rnacentral:rRNA from 1 species